GGCAUUGUAUUUUGUGUAGGUAGCCUGACCAGAAAUUAAAAAAAACUUGACCUAGGGGCGCCACUAGUAUAUGGUCUAUGGCAUAUGGACCU